GAUAAGGGUUAAUAAAACGCUUGAGGUGGCGUUUUGAGGACAUGGCAUGAAGGUCAGAGGGUUGGAGGACCUAGGGAUCAGUGCCUCUUGCAGGAAGGACCGGAUCUCGAGGGUCGCUUCCGCACCUGCACUAAGGUGACUAACGAGCCCUGAGACCUGCUCGUCAAAGUCACCCCAGACCAUGCUCUCCUCUGUGGCUUGUCCCCCCGCAGCUCCUUCUUCCACCAGAGCUUCCUGCUGGGAUGGAUUGGAGAUGGUCACCUGUGCUGCAGCAGUUGUGAGCCUUUGGAUGGCCUCGGUGGCUGCCUGGUCAUCAGAGAAGGACUUCCUCUUGAAUCUGGGGUCAAGGAUGGAGGAUUCAGACAGCAAGGCGUUGAACUCGAUCCUAUGGAAACGCUUUGCCAUCUCAGCGUUGAGUGAGGUUAAAAGUGACACCACCACAGGCUGCUUGAAGCAUCCAAACCUCAGGUGGUUUGCAUGACCCUCUGCAGACCCCGUGCCAAAAUAAUGAUUUUGGAGGCAGUCACGUAGCUACAGAUAGGACACAGAAAGGACAGAGUUACAGUGGGU
ensembl:lncRNA